CAGUGUACUGGUUUUCUCUUCAGUUUUGUCGGUCCUGUUGGUUGCAGGUUGUUUGCUGCAAACCGUUGAUGCGCCCAUUUGUCUGACAGGAUGCUCGCCGUCUACUAUUCCUCUAUUCAUUUGCUGGAGCUGAUUGCAUCCCACUGUCAACUGCCAUACCAUUCCUACCUGCGUGAGGUGGACAGUGAUGGUUCUGUCCUUGGAGGCGUGGAGCCUGAGAUCCUGUUUGCGGUGCAUCCUUUUACUCUCGGUACAAAGUGAGCAGGCCAGCAUCGCUCACCAUGGAUGACCCAUGAACCAACGGCCAGCAAUCCGCAGGACCUGCAUCAUCGAAAAACAAACCACAGCGAUGCGCUGCAAAGGUUACAGACUACAUCUUCCACUCAUGAUCACGUAAUAAAUGUGUAGAGAAUUUAUAUUAAUCUCGAACUCCAUCUAGGUUAUACUGUGUGGGUACUAUUUGUGGUGCUAAUAAAAAUGAAGUUAACAUGUGUUAUUCUUUACAUUGGCUUCCUAUUUGAGCACCAUUGAUAACCAUUGUACAAAGAGUUGUCCUCUGCUGCUAUUAUUAUUAUUCCUUUAUUUAGUGUUUCCUUCCAUCAUUCAGCGUACAUUAGAACACUGGCAAUCACUUUCAUGUGUACAUCUACCUCUUUAGCUCAGGACAGUAGUAUCUCUUCUAAAUCUGAAAGAUGUUUUCCUACUUAGCACUGUUUCAGGAAUUUAGGAUUCUUGGUGUCUGCAAUGAUACAUGUCCUCUCAUCAAAUUCCGAAUUUUUACUACUUUAGAGUGGUUUUAAAAAAUGGAGUAAGUUUACAGAUUUAUGCACAUAGAUGGCACUCAGUUUAGUAAAACAUGAUUAGCAAUAUCAAAAUGGGAAAAUAAAAGUCUGAAAUCUAAUAAGAAGAAUGGUCAUUACUUGACUCAUCAUGAUAUUAUACACGUGUUAUGUUCAGUUAAUAGGCCACUUUCAGGAUCAUAAUUUGGUGCUUUGGAUAGUUCCAAUUUCCUGCUUUUUAUACGAUCCAUUACUUAUUUUGUUACAUAGCCUAGCGUAUUUGUUUCAACUCUUCCCUAAGUCGUUCAGACUCUGAAAUGAUUUUGUUACCGUGGACCAUCUACAAGCUGAGCAUGCCAUUUAGGUACGAAUUGUCAAAAUAAUAGGUGUAUUAAUUUCCUACGUGGAUGUCUGAACAUAGCUUCAAUCAAAACAUAUUUAGCUAUUGCUAAAAUAACAACUACAGCUCAGUAACAAAUUUACUUUGAUCGACAUGGUAUUCACAUGCUCCCUGAUAUGGCUACUCUUGUUUGUUUUUGGCAAUACCGGUGUCCUCUUUCAUAAAUCGAGGGUGCUGACGAAGAUUACUGCCCAGCUCCAUGAGUGUCGUUAAGAUCCCUUGCAAUAUAAUGUUUAACAUUAUACUGGUGGACCUAGGGCUUCCAAAGGCAAGAUACAGCUCACAUACAUGGGGAUGGCAAAGUUUCUUCCAUUGUUACGUUCUAUAGUCCCUCACAUAUGCCUGGGAAGUUGCUUCAGUUAUUAAAAAUGGGUGACGCUCAAGCUGCUGAUUCUAAGAUGGCAAGUACUAUGUACAUCGAUUGAUCCAGGAAAAUUCAGGGAACUACAGACUCUUGCUCAGAUGUGUGCAGAUUCCAAUCACAAUGAUGAGCCAUCCGACCAUGCUAGCAGGGCAAAGCGACAUGUUUUUUGGAACAAGCUUGAUGGAAACCAUCGGGAUCCCGGCCAGUGCCACGAUGGAACCUAUGCUGAAGAAGCAUCACCAUCCAAGCACGAAAGCCGUGCUAUUUUCGCUACCUAUAUGUAGUGCAUGUAUAAGGCAUAGAUCUUACACUUUUUUACUAUAUUUUGGUUGCACACUGCCACUGCCCUCCUUAUACUUUUGCAUCUAUUUAUAUAUUUAUAUGUUUAUUUUUUGCUACAA